GGUGGAUUAGUGGCGAACGGGUGAGUAACACGUGAGUAACCUGCCCUUGACUCUGGGAUAAGCCUGGGAAACUGGGUCUAAUACCGGAUAUGACUCCUCAUCGCAUGGUGGGGGGUGGAAAGCUUUUUGUGGUUUUGGAUGGACUCGCGGCCUAUCAGCUUGUUGGUGAGGUAAUGGCUUACCAAGGCGACGACGGGUAGCCGGCCUGAGAGGGUGACCGGCCACACUGGGACUGAGACACGGCCCAGACUCCUACGGGAGGCAGCAGUGGGGAAUAUUGCACAAUGGGCGCAAGCCUGAUGCAGCGACGCCGCGUGAGGGAUGACGGCCUUCGGGUUGUAAACCUCUUUCAGUAGGGAAGAAGCCUUUCGGGGUGACGGUACCUGCAGAAGAAGCGCCGGCUAACUACGUGCCAGCAGCCGCGGUAAUACGUAGGGCGCAAGCGUUAUCCGGAAUUAUUGGGCGUAAAGAGCUCGUAGGCGGUUUGUCGCGUCUGCCGUGAAAGUCCGGGGCUCAACUCCGGAUCUGCGGUGGGUACGGGCAGACUAGAGUGAUGUAGGGGAGACUGGAAUUCCUGGUGUAGCGGUGAAAUGCGCAGAUAUCAGGAGGAACACCGAUGGCGAAGGCAGGUCUCUGGGCAUUAACUGACGCUGAGGAGCGAAAGCAU
rnacentral:rRNA from 1 species